CGUUGGCUGCUCAGAGGAUGCCAUUUUCUUUGUGGUAGAGCGUGUGACGCGGAGGAAAUCAGUCCCGACAGCGGAGGGACUCUCGGAUUUUCUCGAUAGAGAAGACUCACUAGACGCUCGCGUCACUGGUCGGGAAAUGACCAACCUAGGAGUUGUCUUCGAACUGGUCGAUGGCAAAACCUUUGCUUUCGGAGUGGGAGUCGCGGUUUUGACCCUGGGACUAACGGACUUGGGUGCUGGCUUACCGCGAGUGGAUAGCGGAGAUUGCAGGUUGAACUUUUGUUCUUUUCCAGGUGCGGGUGUCUUUUUCUUGUCUCCCUCUAGGGGCAUGCUCAGCUAUGCCCUAGGAGAAGGAAGUCAAGAAGGCCUGCACGCCGCAAAAAAUGUGGAAUUGAAAAAGAACCAGACAGCUUAAAUAAAGCACAACAUAAUAAUAUAAAUAAUAGCUACCAGAUGGUGUCUGGGUAAUAGCCAAUAAUUUAUAAAAAAUCGCUACCGACUGGAAAUCCCGAAAAAAAUAGCUAAUAUAUAGAAAAUAGCUAUAAAUUGGAAUUUAUGGAAAAAUAGCUAAAAAAAAUAGCUAUCGAAUAGAGUUCGGAUGAUAGCUAAUAAUUUAUAAAAAUAGCUACCGGAUUUAGGACCACAACGAAAAAAAAAAAAACCAACAAACACGCCAAAAAGCCAAGUUGGGAGGCUGAUAAAUUUGGGUGGAAUAGGGUAUUCUCUCGUCGCUAUGCGCCGGUUUUUUGUCAGGGCAAUAAAGAACAAAGAAGAGACGAAAGAGCUUGCACUUGGCAAGCCUAUGUAAGUCGCGACUGUGUGUAUGUAUGUAUGUAUUAUUUGGAGUUUAAUAGGGGAUGUGCAAUAUGUAUUUAUGUAUGGAGAAACAUAUAUAUGAAAUGUAAUCUCGGAAGAAAAAGUCAGGGUUUAUUUUAUUCUGUAUGUCGAGAUUUGUGUUUUAUUUUGAGCCAAGAGAUAUAAUUUGUUCUCAGUUCGGCUUCGAUAUUAUUUAUGAUUUUUGGUAAUAUAUUUCAUUUGUGUAUUAAAUUGGUUAAAUCUAUGGAGUGAUUCUUAUAUAUGUAUGUGGAUGUAAAUUUUAUUGGAAUAUAUGUGGAUAUGUAUGGAUAUGUAUAUAUAUGGGUAUGUAUAAUUUUAUGUGUAUGUAAAAUUUUGCUGAAUAUAUGUAUAUGUAUAUUUGAUUUAAUUUAAUUGAAUUUGUGGUUUGUAUAUUUUAUUGCGGCAAAAAAAAAACAGCAGUUUAGCAGCGGACGUUAAUAGUGAAUUUUGGACAGUGUUUAAAAAAAUGUAUGUAUAUAUAUGUAUAUGCGCUUGGAUACCAGCGGAUCACCGUGAGACGAAUUAGGGGGCCGGUAUUGGCAAAGUGCUUGUUUAUGCACUUAAAAAAAGAAGUAAUCACGGUGGCUGGGCGCAUGUACUUACAUAUUUUCACUUAAUUUUCACUUUUCACUUGAUACGGAUGGACGGAAAGAAUAAACGCCGUUGGAAAAACGAGAAUGGCGACCACGGACAGAAUAGGAUUUAAUGCCGUACUUAUCUUGAUUUUUCCGCAAGGAGCGCUGGCAGAAUCAGGAUGUAUCGCGGACUCGAAAAAUCCGGCUCGAAGGACCAUGAAGUGGAGUGGGCGGAAUUGUUUGUUGUUGCGGCUAAUUCCUCCAGAAAUGAAACGUCCGGGAUCGCCUUCAAUUGGUUGCACUUUAUUCUCGCUCUUGUAAAUUAAGACUAACUUAAACCUAACAUCGGAAAUACCGCGGGACCGCGGAGUGGUGAAGACCUUGCGGGAAGGGAGGAGAGCGAGAGGAGAGAAGGAGAGCGCGAGCAGCGGUGCUUGCGAGCCGUGGAGGAGCUUUGAGUACAAGCAUUGGCCGCUUACACUGCCGCUCAAAUUUGAUUUGAUUUGAAAAUUUGGUAUAACUCCAAUUACUCAGGUAUGAUCCAAUUCAAGGACAUUGCCAGGUAGGGAGUUUGACUGGGGCGGUACAUCUCUCAAAUAAUAACGGAGGUGUCCCAAGGCCAGCUCAGUGCGGACAGAAACCACACAUAGAGCAAAAGGGCAAAUGCUGACUUGAUCUCGGUGUUCAGUACACACAGGGACAGCAAAAGCUCGGCCUAUCGAUCCUUUUGGUUUAAAGAGUUUUUAACAAGAGGUGUCAGAAAAGUUACCAUAGGGAUAACUGGCUUGUGGCGGCCAAGCGUUCAUAGCGACGUCGCUUUUUGAUCCUUCGAUGUCGGCUCUUCCUAUCAUUGUAAAAUUCACCAAGCGUUGGAUUGUUCACCCAUGCAAGGGAACGUGAGCUGGGUUUAGACCGUCGUGAGACAGGUUAGUUUUACCCUACUAAUGACAAAACGUUGUUGCGACAGCAUUCCUGCGUAGUACGAGAGGAACCGCAGGUACGGACCAAUGGCACAAUACUUGUUCGAGCGAACAGUGGUAUGACGCUACGUCCGUUGGAUUAUGCCUGAACGCCUCUAAGGUCGUAUCCGUGCUGGACUGCAAUGAUAAAUAAGGGGCAAUUUGCAUUGUAUGGCUUCUAAACCAUUUAAAGUUUAUAAUUUACUUUAUAAACGACAAUGGAUGUGAUGCCAAUGUAAUUUGUAACAUAGUAAAUUGGGAGGAUCUUCGAUCACCUGAUGCCGCGCUAGUUACAUAUAAAAGCAUUAUUU
rnacentral:rRNA from 1 species